UAUGCCUCCUCAACGGGUGCGGUCCAGCAGUGAAGCUGAGAGCAGCACGCAGCAUAUAUCACCUUCUAUCAACAACCUCGUUCAGUGACCUACUUGGCUUACUCUGAACUACUCUUCCUGAAGAUGUCCGGGAGCUUUUCUGGAGUUGAGGCCAAAGGGCCCAACGCCAGUGCAGCGAUUGGAAUCUCUAGUGGAGAGGGUGCCAGAGUCUUUGUUGAAGCAACACUAGCCAGUGUUUCACUGUCUGCAGGUUCGGUAAAAGCUACAGUCGGUCUGUCAGCAGACACUGGUAUCGGUGUCGGUCCUUCAGGUGUAGAGGCAAAAAUUCUGGGAACAGGCUUCUCCGUCGGUCGUACUAUGGGCAUUUCUCUGUUUGGCACUGGGUUUGAAUUCAACUUAUGGUAGACUGUGGCUUGUGCCAAACACAGCUCUUUGUGAGUGUGUGUUAUGUCUUCUAUGACAACAAUGAAAGGAUGAAAGCAUUUGAAAUGUUUGCAAAUUAUGUUUUUAUUCAUGCAAAUGAUGAAGGGUUUUUUCUGUGUCUGCUGCUUUUAAAUAACAUAAAAUGUCGCAAUCUUUGUCAUACUGAAAAUAAAGUACAGCAAAAAGAU